GAUGAACGCUAGCUACAGGCUUAACACAUGCAAGUCGAGGGGCAGCAUUAGGUAGCAAUACUGAGAUGGCGACCGGCGCACGGGUGCGUAACGCGUAUCCAACCUUCCCGUAGCAGGGGGAUAAGCGGAAGAAAUUCCGUCUAAUACCGCGUAAUAUCCUUUAGGGGCAUCCCUUUAGGAUUAAAGAAAUUCGGCUACGGAUGGGCAUGCGGCGCAUUAGCUAGUUGGCGGGUAACGGCCCACCAAGGCGACGAUGCGUAGGGGUUCUGAGAGGAAGGUCCCCCACACUGGUACUGAGACACGGACCAGACUCCUACGGGAGGCAGCAGUGAGGAAUAUUGGUCAAUGGGCGAGAGCCUGAACCAGCCAAGUCGCGUGAGGGAAGACGGUCCUAUGGAUUGUAAAACCUCUUUUGUCGGGGAGCAAACGAGGCCACGCGUGGCCGCAGUGAGAGUACCCGAAGAAAAAGCAUCGGCUAACUCCGUG
rnacentral:rRNA from 1 species